AUUCCGCUCGUAGGCGCCCCCGUAGGGGGUGUCGCCAGGGCCCUGGCACAUGGUGUCAGGGUGCUGGAGGACGGAAUAAACUACGCAACAGGGAACAUUCCUGGUUGCUCUUU
rfam:Hepatitis C virus isolate QC115, complete genome